rnacentral:rRNA from 1 species
GCAAGUCGAGGGAUAAGGUAUCUGCUUGCUUUUAAUGGCGGCUGACGGAUGCGUAAGUCAUACGUAAAUUACCUGUCAUUGCCUGAGGGAUAACACUGCGAAAGAGGUGCGAAUACCGCAUAAUGCAGCCGGACCGCAUGGUCAUAGUUGGUAAAGGAGAAAGCCGGUUAAAGAUGGGUCUGCGUACUAUUAGCUAGUUGGUAAGGUAACGGCUUACCAAGGCUAUGAUAGGUAGGGGGUCUGAGAGGGUGAUC